rnacentral:tRNA from 1 species
GAAUAGGUAAGCUAAUAAUAAGCUAUCAGGUUCAUACCCUGAGUAUAGGAUUACCAUCCUCCCCUUCA